GUCUGGCUGGCUCAGUCAGUAGAGAAUGCGACUCUUGAUCUCAGGGUCAUGGGUUCAAGUCCCAUGCUGGGUG
rnacentral:tRNA from 1 species